UUCGUAGGCGGUGUGGCAAGUCGGAAGUGAAAUCUCCAGGCUCAACUUGGAGGCUGCUCCCGAAACUGCCGCGCUAGAGUGCGGGAGAGGCCAGUGGAAUUGCAGGUGUAGCGGUGAAAUGCGUAGAUAUCUGCAGGAACACCCGUGGCGAAGGCGGCUGGCUGGACCGCAACUGACGCUGAGGAACGAAAGCUAGGGGAGCAAACA
rnacentral:rRNA from 1 species